UACAGAGGUCCCAAGCGUUGUUCGGAUUCACUGGGCGUAAAGGGUGCGUAGGUGGUGGGGUAAGUCGGAUGUGAAAGCUCGGAGCUCAACUCCGAAAUGGCAUUGGAAACUACCCUGCUAGAGGAUUGGAGGGGGGACUGGAAUACUUGGUGUAGCAGUGAAAUGCGUAGAUAUCAAGUGGAACACCAGUGGCGAAGGCGAGUCCCUGGACGAUACCUGACACUGAGGCACGAAAGCUAGGAGAGCAAACAGG
rnacentral:rRNA from 1 species